rnacentral:rRNA from 1 species
UCAAAACGACUCUCGGCAACGGAUAUCUCGGCUCUCGCAUCGAUGAAGAACGUAGCGAAAUGCGAUACUUGGUGUGAAUUGCAGAAUCCCGUGAACCAUCGAGUCUUUGAACGUAAGUAGCGCCCGAAGCCAUUAGGCCGAGGGCACGUCUGCCUGGGCGUCA